rnacentral:lncRNA from 1 species
CAUAUGACAUCUCGAGCAGAGAGCCUGUUUCCAGCACCCGUUCUCCUACCACCAAGUCACACUCGUGGCUGGCACAGAGAAGGUGCUCACUGUUUGCUUGUUCAGACCGCGUCACCAAAACAUGGAAAACUCAUUGAGUUUAAUAUUCUGGGCUUAACAGACUGAUUAUUUUCAGGAGCAAACUGAAGGAUAUUCGUAAGUAUGCUGAAGUGACAGGUGGAGAACAAUUCCCAUUAAUUAUUAUGUCUAAUUAUUCCACUUAAUAAUGAUGAGAUGCAAAUAAGACCAACCAAUAAAAAAUGAGGAAAAUACACAAGUAUAAUGUAUAGAAAAAGCACAAAGUAUUACCAUUCCUUCAGCUUCGAACAAGACCAUGAUCAACAUCAAAGGACAACCUAUAGCCCAAGACAUGUGCCUGUCUGCACUCCAGGCUUGCUUACCUUGCUACGGAUGAUGAGAGGGAGUGGCAAUAAAACCAAAACAGUGAAAACCACAAGGAGAAAGCGACGAUACACAAAAGCGUAAUUGAGGAGCUUCAUUGUCCUGAGCAGGUGCCUUCAACAGUGUCCCCCUCACUCUCAGGCAGAAGUUAAAUAACCAGGCUGGAUUAAUAUUUCUCUACCUCAUCAUCUUUACCUACUGCCUCAGACAGACCAACGCUGGUUAAAAUUAAAUCUCAUUUUUAUUGUUUUACUAUCACAAUUAAAAGAAAGAGAUAAGCCC